UCGUAACAAGGUUACAGUAGGUGAACCUGCGGUAGGAUCAUUA
rnacentral:rRNA from 1 species